AUUGAACGCUGGCGGCAUGCCUUACACAUGCAAGUCGAACGGCAGCACGGGUGCUUGCACCUGGUGGCGAGUGGCGAACGGGUGAGUAAUACAUCGGAACAUGUCCUGUAGUGGGGGAUAGCCCGGCGAAAGCCGGAUUAAUACCGCAUACGAUCCACGGAUGAAAGCGGGGGACCUUCGGGCCUCGCGCUUUAGGGUUGGCCGAUGGCUGAUUAGCUAGUUGGUGGGGUAAAGGCCUACCAAGGCGACGAUCAGUAGCUGGUCUGAGAGGACGACCAGCCACACUGGAACUGAGACACGGCCCAGACUCCUACGGGAGGCAGCAGUGGGGAAUUUUGGACAAUGGGCGAAAGCCUGAUCCAGCAAUGCCGCGUGUGUGAAGAAGGACUUCGGGUUGUAAAGCACUUUUGUCCGGAAAGAAAUCCUUGACUCUAAUACAGUCGGGGGAUGACGGUACCGGAAGAAUAAGCACCGGCUAACUACGUG
rnacentral:rRNA from 1 species